rnacentral:lncRNA from 1 species
CAGAUGUCCUCUUUAGAGAUUUUAAUAUAAACACCGUUAACCCACAGAUUCUUUUUGAAGAAAUGCCAGUUGCAUAGAAGAAUGCCAGUUGGCAUGAAUGUAACUUGAACAUUUGACAUAUUAAUAGAUAUUUUUUUUUCUGAGCAAAAUAGAUUUUUAUUUUUUUAUAGAGAAGGCAUGUCUGCUUUAGUUCUCUAUUAGAGUCCCAGCUUGCAAUAUCUGUUUGCUUGCAGUGAUGUCAUUAACUAGAAAACAGAUGCACUCAUGAGCAUCAGAAAUCAAUCAUUGCUGUUGGCACUUUAAUAAACAGCUGCCUUCUUAAAUGGUUUGGAAUAAACACUGAUCAUCACCAGCUCUUUUUGAAGGAAGAUCGGCACGCGAUGGGGAUCUUACAGUUAGACCCACAUGCAAGCCUGGCUUUUCAGAAGAAGACUACACAGCAUUCGUCUCCCAAAGUAUCAUGGAAGGGCAGAAGCUACUGAAAGUAAAA